rnacentral:rRNA from 1 species
UACGUAGGGGGCAAGCGUUGUCCGGAUUUAUUGGGCGUAAAGAGCUCGUAGGUGGUUUGGUAAGUCGGAUGUGAAAUCUCCAGGCUCAACCUGGAGGGGUCAUUCGAUACUGCCAUGACUAGAGGUCGGUAGGGGAGUGUGGAAUUCCUGGUGGAGCGGUGAGAUGCGCAGAUAUCAGGAGGAACACCCGUAGCGAAGGCGGCACUCUGGGCCGAUUCUGACACUGAGGAGCGAAAGCGUGGGGAGCGAACAGG